AUUGAACGCUGGCGGCAUGCUUUACACAUGCAAGUCGAACGGCAGCACGGGCUUCGGCCUGGUGGCGAGUGGCGAACGGGUGAGUAAUAUAUCGGAACGUACCCAGAAGUGGGGGAUAACGUAGCGAAAGUUACGCUAAUACCGCAUACGAUCUAUGGAUGAAAGCAGGGGACCGCAAGGCCUUGUGCUCCUGGAGCGGCCGAUAUCUGAUUAGCUAGUUGGUGAGGUAAAGGCUCACCAAGGCGACGAUCAGUAGCUGGUCUGAGAGGACGACCAGCCACACUGGAACUGAGACACGGUCCAGACUCCUACGGGAGGCAGCAGUGGGGAAUUUUGGACAAUGGGCGCAAGCCUGAUCCAGCAAUGCCGCGUGAGUGAAGAAGGCCUUCGGGUUGUAAAGCUCUUUUGUCAGGGAAGAAACGGUAGAGGCUAAUAUCCUUUGCUAAUGACGGUACCUGAAGAAUAAGCACCGGCUAACUACG
rnacentral:rRNA from 1 species